rnacentral:tRNA from 1 species
AAACUUAGGAUAACCGUCUACUUAAAC